UGACCUCGGAUCAGUCGUGCUUACCCGCUGAACUGAAGUUCAUAACUAACCAGAGAAAAAGAAACUAAUCAGGAUCACCCAAGUAACGGCGAGUGAAGGAGGAAUAGCCCAACACUGAAGCCAGCGGAAGGUUUACUGCUAGACAAUCUGGUGUUUGGAUCGACUCGUAGGAUUGCAACUCCACUCGAAGUCCAGCAAUGAGUAUGGUUCACUGGAUUUGGCCCAGAGAGGGUGAAAGGCCCGUACGAGUGCAGGUUCAGACAUGUGAGGCAGUUUACCAGGGCGACAUUCGAGUCGGGUUGUUUGAGAAUGCAGCCAAAAGUAGGUGCUUAAAUCCAUCAAAGGCUGAAUACAAGUCCGAUAGCGAACAUAAAAAGUGAGGGAAAUGUGAAAAUAACUUUAAAAAGAGAGAGAGAGAGAGAGUAAACAGUACGUGAAACCGUAUAAAGGUAACCGAGUGGCAUCAAGCAACAAGCCCAG
rnacentral:ncRNA from 1 species